AGCUCCGGCCGUGUCCGAGCCCUGCAGGGGAUGCUAGCGGUGGGAUGCGACGCGUCCAGCGAUGUGCGGGCAGGCGGCUGGCUUCCUCCGGAGCCGCCAAUGAAACGUGAAACCCCGGGCUGCGUCUGAGGGCCGGCCCUGGGAGGCUGCUCCAGCCUCUGGGCUGUGCGUGCACGCAUCCGCAGCGCGGUCGCUCUUCCCAACUUCUUGGGCCGCUUCCUUAGGGACGGCCGGAGGGAGCCGUCUUCGAGCGCUGCCGAGAGGGGGAAAGACGAGCAACUUGCGAGUGCGAGCGGGCUAAACCCGGCUGUCACGGCUCCCGAAUUUGUCUCGGGGAGCCGCCACGCUUAUGGGGGAGAGCAUCGACCCUGCUUGCGGAAGGAGAAUUGCUCAGACCCAGCAUGGACGAACACAAUGGCUCUGUGGAGUUGCCCCCAGCAAGCCAAGGGCGGCAUGGCACAAUCAAGUGUGGAUGGCUGCGAAAGCAAGGAGGCUUCGUCAAGACCUGGCACACACGCUGGUUUGUUCUCAAAGGGGACCAGCUUUAUUAUUUCAAAGAUGAAGAUGAAAUCAAGCCACUGGUAAGUGACAGUCCUAAGGUUAACAUAAGUGGAGUUGUCACGUUUUAAGAAACCUCUCUGUCUUGGACUCCAUACAACUUGAGGUUUUGUUUACUGUGAAUGCAGAGUCAGGCCUUGGCAGUUACAUGGUUCCCCAUAUGAUCUCUAAAGUUUUUUUCCCAGUCAGGUUUUCUCAUUAUAGCAUUUUUAAAGGGAAAUAGUCCAAAUGAAGCUUGAGUGGCAAAAAUCAGUAUGAUAUACUUACCUGAGGCAUAUGGAUAAGCUGCCUUUUUAAAGGUACUGGGUAUUUUUUUGCUAUUUAAAAUAUUGGAGUAUUUCUACUUUGUGUCUUUACAGAUAGGAAAUCCCAUAAGACUGUAGCCUAGAUACCUUGCCAUCUGUAGUGUAGAUUAGACUUGUUUGCUACCUAGUUCUGUUGUGGUAAUUUACUGCUCCUUAAUGUUCAUCUACUUUCUUAUUUAGCUUUCUGACAGGCAUGCUUUAGGACUGUCUAUCUCUAGAGUGCCAUAAGAACAGAGUAAAUAACUUUUGCCUCUUAGCCCAGGGCAAGUCUGAGCCCCUCUGAUAAUAAAUUGAGAAAUCUUGUACUAGCACCUUCAGCAGUGUGGUAGUUGUUGAUCAUCCCCAUCUGUGACUUUAGAAAAUACUCUGUGAAUUAUGUCUGUAUAGAUGUUUGAAUAUAUAUCGCACUCAUAUCUUUGUCUAUUACAUUUUUGAUGGUUUAUGCUUAUGUGGAUUUUAACAGUGACUUGAGAGAUGUAGAACUCGUUAAUCCAGCUUCCUAUAUGGUAAAGGCCACAGCAGUUUUAUUAAGCUUACGGCGUGUAUUAUGGUGCACAUGUUAAGAAAAUAUUCAGACUUGAGGUAAUUGUUCCCAAAGAAAGUACUUGUUUAUGCUGCUUUCAAAGCAGCAUUUUCACGUGACAGCCUUGGUAACUGUUUCCUCUUAAAACAA